UGGCUCAGCGGGAAGAGCAUGAGACUCUUGAUCUUAGGUUCGUGAGUUCAAGCCCCAC
rnacentral:tRNA from 1 species